GCACUGGUGGUUCAGUGGUAGAAUUCUCACCUUCCAUCUGGGAAACCUGGGUUCAAUUCCCCGCCAAAGUA
rnacentral:tRNA from 1 species